GGACAAGGACAGCUCAGUCCCAUCCCGCGGUCCUCUCGGUUCCUUCUCUUCAUGGUAGAAGUACACAUAUGUGUAGGUGCCUUUCUCGGUUACAGUGAAGUGGUCGGGUCCCUUCUGCCACCAACGCUGACCAUCCUUGUACCAGGUGGUGGCACUGUCGGUCCCCAAGCCCUGGCAGCAUAGUUCUGAGAAUGCCCCAAAAACUCUGCAAAGACAACAACAGUCUUCUCAGCAACCUGCCUGGGUGCCUCCUACUUUAUGUCUCAAACCUGCAGCUCUUUGGAAUGGCCCCAAGAAGAAUCUUUGCAUUCUGGUUCGGCUGCCAGACAAGAGGGAAAAGUGUGGAGAUACUGAGCAGUGGCUUGGCCUGUGGCUGUGGUGGGGCUGUGGGGAGUUACCCUGUGUGGAUUCCAGGUGUCCCCAAAGCUGCUGCAUCUCUGUCCUCCUCACCUGAGUGAAAGGCUGAGGGUUUGCAGGGAUUUUGGCAUAAAGACACCAGAGGUGCUGUUGUGGACUCAAGAGCUACCUGGGGUCAGGUGCUGCCUUCCAUUUGGGAUCAUGGAGAGCAUUCAUGGGUAUGGUGCAGGGCGUGUGCUGGGACAGACUGGUGGCCGUGAGUUUGC